rnacentral:rRNA from 1 species
GACAGAGGUGCCGAGCGUUAGGCGGAAUCACUGGGCUUAAAGCGUGUGUAGGCGGACUUCUAAGUACCUUGUGAAAUCCCACGGCUUAACCGUGGAACUGCUGGGUAUACUGGUUGUCUUGAGCCACUUAGGGGCGAGCGGAACAAAUGGUGGAGCGGUGAAAUGCGUAGAUAUCAUUUGGAACGCCAAUGGUGAAAACAGCUCGCUGGGAGUGUGCUGACGCUGAGACACGAAAGCCAGGGUAGCGAACGGG